UCUUCUUCUCUCUUCUUUGGCCGUGACAUUUCUUCAUCAUUUCCCUUCCAUCACCAAUUUUUCAUUCCUUAGCCAAAUUCAAUUAUUAGAAGCUUGUUGGAACCAUGAAGGUUCAUAGAUCAUCAUCCCUAAGCUAGGGCAAGCAAGAGAGCAAAGCAAGAGGGUGCUAGGGCUUGAGAAAGAGAGGAGCUCAUGAGAGCUAGAACAUGAGGAGCUUUAGGAUUCAUCAAAUUUCUAAGAUAUCCAGAUUGACAGGUUAUAUGUUAGCUUGUCCGAGUAGCGUGGUGAAGCUCCGCUCUGAUUGUGACACGGGGA